CAGGCCUAACACAUGCAAGUCAUACGGGGAUUUUUAAUUCAAGUGGCGGACGGGUGAGUAACACGUAAGAAUUUGCCUUUAGGAGGGGGACAACAACUGGAAACGGUUGCUAAUACCCCAUAUGCUUUCGAGUGAAAUGGAUUUUUCCGCCUAAAGAGAAGCUUGCGGCUGAUUAGCUUGUUGGUGAGGUAAUGGCUCACCAAGGCGACGAUCAGUAUUUGGUUUGAGAGGAUGAUCAGACACACUGGAACUGAGACACGGUCCAGACUCCUACGGGAGGCAGCAGUGGGGAAUUUUCCGCAAUGGGCGAAAGCCUGACGGAGCAAUCUCGCGUGAGGGAUGACGGCCUAUGGGUUGUAAACCUCUUUUUUCAGGGAGGACAAAAUGACGUGUACCUGAAGAAUAAGCAUCGGCUAACUCCGUGCCAGCAGCCGCGGUAAGACGGAGGAUGCAAGUGUUAUCCGGAAUCACUGGGCGUAAAGCGUCUGUAGGUGGUUUGAUAAGUCAACUGUUAAAUCUUGAAGCUCAACUUCAAAAUCGCAGUCGAAACUAUUAGACUAGAGUAUAGUAGGGGUAAAGGGAAUUUCCAGUGGAGCGGUGAAAUGCGUAGAUAUUGGAAAGAACACCGAUGGCGAAGGCACUUUACUGGGCUAUUACUGACACUCAGAGACGAAAGCUAGGGUAGCAAAUGGGAUUAGAUACCCCAGUAGUCCUAGCCGUAAACAAUGGAUACUAGAUGUUGAACAGAUCGACCUGUGCAGUAUUAAAGCUAACGCGUUAAGUAUCCCGCCUGGGAAGUAUGCUCGCAAGAGUGAAACUCAAAGGAAUUGACGG
rnacentral:rRNA from 1 species